UUUGUUGGAACAUAUGGAAGCAAAAGGAAGUUAAUUAUACUAUCGAGACAUUGUCAAAUGAGCCCAAGAAAAUCAUCAGUGAAUUUUGAGUAUGCACGAGGGACAUCACAUAGAAAGCUUGUCCUACCACUUCAUGAUUAGCUUCAGGUAACGGAGAAGAGCAGGUUCGUGAUACUCUCGACGCUUAGGAGAACUUGCUGCUGCUGUUGAUUUGGUGAGCCCACAUCCUUGUUCGUGGGACACUUCUUGUUUCAUUUAUUAUUCUAGAUUUUCGGGCUGCGUCCCGAAGUUAGAUGAUUGUUUUAUCUCUUAGAGGCUCCAUAGAUAGUUGUCAGAAUUGUGGGUAGAUUGUCAAAGUCUCGUACGACUUAAUGGGUGUUUGCCACGUUUAUGACUAUAUACUUAUAUUAGACUUCCGCUGAUCUUAUUUCAUAAUUGUGAUCCU